rnacentral:rRNA from 1 species
UUCGUAGGUGGCCCGCUAAGUCACACGUGAAAUCCCUCAGCUUAACUGGGGAACUGCGUGUGAGACUGGCGGGCUUGAGUGCAGGAGAGGAACGCGGAAUUCCAGGUGUAGCGGUGAAAUGCGUAGAUAUCUGGAGGAACACCGGUGGCGAAGGCGGCGUUCUGGACUGUAUCUGACACUGAGGAACGAAAGCCAGGGGAGCAAACG